rfam:Triticum aestivum genome assembly, contig: Triticum_aestivum_CS42_TGACv1_scaffold_569030_7AS
AUAAUACUCCCUCCGUACAGAAAUACUUGUUCGAGAAAUGGACGUAUCUAGAUGUAUUUUAGUUCUAGAUACAACCAUUUGUAUCCAUUUCUAUGACAAGUAUUUCCGGACAGAGGGAGUAGAUG